rnacentral:rRNA from 1 species
UCCUUCGGACGAGAAGAGACAGGUGGUGCAUGGUUGUCGUCAGCUCGUGUCGUGAGAUGUUGGGUUAAGUCCCGCAACGAGCGCAACCCUUGUGUUUAGUUGCCAACAGGUUAAGCUGUGCACUCUAAACAGACUGCCGUGGAUAACACGGAGGAAGGUGGGGAUGACGUCAAAUCAUCAUGCCCCUUAUGAUCUGGGCUACACACGUGCUACAAUGGUCGGUACAACGGGCAGCGAAAGAGUAAUCUGGAGCGAAUCCUAAAAAGCCGAUCCCAGUUCGGAUUGUGGGCUGAAACUCGCCCACAUGAAGUUGGAGUUGCUAGUAAUCGCGAAUCAGAAUGUCGCGGUGAAUGCGUUCCCGGGUCUU